UAGCUUUGUGAAUGGGCCAAAUAUGUAAAAGUCCAAGUUGCUUCUUGAACCAAAACAGGCAAAAUAUUCUGAGAAGAAAGAGAAAAUAAAAGCUACAAGAUUCCAGAAACAGAAUUGGAAGCAAAUCUUCUACAAAAUAAAAAGAAUUAUGGAAAGUGGAAACUGUUUCAAAAUCUAAACUGCAAUAUUUUCCCAAGAUCCUUGGAGCAGAAAAGCCCUAUAAAAGGACACAAGCAUCAAGGAGAAAUUAGAGAGCUUCAUAGGGUUUUCUUAGUUUAUUU
rnacentral:lncRNA from 1 species